rnacentral:rRNA from 1 species
CCUACGGGGGGCAGCAGUGAGGAAUAUUGGUCAAUGGGCGAGAGCCUGAACCAGCCAAGUCGCGUGAGGGAGUACUGCCCUAUGGGUUGUAAACUUCUUUUAUAUGGGAAUAAAAUGUUCCACGUGUGGGAUUUUGUAUGUACCAUAUGAAUAAGGAUCGGCUAACUCCGUGCCAGCAGCCGCGGUAAUACGGAGGAUCCGAGCGUUAUCCGGAGUUAUUGGGUUUAAAGGGAGCGUAGGUGGAUUGUUAAGUCAGUUGUGAAAGUUUGCGGCUCAACCGUAAAAUUGCAGUUGAAACUGGCAGUCUUGAGUACAGUAGAGGUGGGCGGAAUUCGGGGUGUAGCGGUGAAAUGCUUAGAUAUCACGAAGAACUCCGAUUGCGAAGGCAGCUCACUGGACUGCAACUGACACUGAGGCUCGAAAGUGUGGGUAUCAAACAGGAUUAGAUACCCCAGUAGUC